UCAGAGGGGGGUAGAAUUNCACGUGUAGCAGUGAAAUGCGUAGAGAUGUGGAGGAAUACCGAUGGCGAAGGCAGCCCCCUGGGAUAAUACUGACGUUCAUGCUCGAAAGCGUGGGUAGCAAACAGGAUUAGAUACCCUGGUAGUCCACGCCCUAAACGAUGUCAAUUAGCUGUUGGGCAACAUGAUUGCUUAGUAGCGUAGCUAACGCGUGAAAUUGACCGCCUGGGGAGUACGGUCGCAAGAUUAAAACUCAAAGGAAUUGACGGGGACCCGCACAAGCGGUGGAUGAUGUGGAUUAAUUCGAUGCAACGCGAAGAACCUUACCUGGUCUUGACAUGUACGGAAUCUUCCAGAGACGGAAGAGUGCCUUCGGGAGCCGUAACACAGGUGCUGCAUGGCUGUCGUCAGCUCGUGUCGUGAGAUGUUGGGUUAAGUCCCGCAACGAGCGCAACCCUUGUCAUUAGUUGCCACCAUUCAGUUGGGCACUCUAAUGAGACUGCCGGUGACAAACCGGAGGAAGGUGGGGAUGACGUCAAGUCCUCAUGGCCCUUAUGACCAGGGCUUCACACGUCAUACAAUGGUCGGUACAGAGGGUAGCCAAGCCGCGAGGUGGAGCCAAUCUCAGAAAACCGAUCGUAGUCCGGAUUGCACUCUGCAACUCGAGUGCAUGAAGUCGGAAUCGCUAGUAAUCGCAGGUCAGCAUACUGCGGUGAAUACGUUCCCGGGUCUUGUACAC
rnacentral:rRNA from 1 species